GCACUACUGACGAAUCCCAAACAGGACGAAACUGCUUUCCAGUGC
rfam:Echinostoma caproni strain Egypt genome assembly, scaffold: ECPE_scaffold0001146